rfam:Brachypodium distachyon strain Bd21 chromosome 2, whole genome shotgun sequence.
UAUCUACUACCUCCGUCUCAUAAUUCUUGUCGAAAUAUUACAUGUAUCUAAACGUUUUUUAAGACUAGAUACAUUCAUUUUUAGGCAAAUUUGAGACAAGAAUUAUGAGACUGAGUGAGUAUAUA